GCGCCGUUAGCUCAGUUGGUAGAGCAGCUGACUCUUAAUCAGCGGGUCCAAGGUUCGAGCCCUUGACGGCGCA
rnacentral:tRNA from 3 species